AAGCACUUUAUACUGUGAAAACUGCGAAUGGCUCAUUAAAUCACCUUAUCGUUUAUUUGAUAGUACCUUCCUACAUGGAUACCUGUGGUAAUUCUAGAGCUAAUACAUGCUGAAAACCUCGACUUCGGAAGGGGUGUAUUUAUUAGAUAAAAAACCAAUGCCCUUCGGGGCUCCUUGGUGAAUCAUAAUAACUUAACGAAUCGCAUGGCCUUGCGCCGGCGAUGGUUCAUUCAAAUUUCUGCCCUAUCAACCUUCGAUGGUAGGAUAGUGGCCUACCAUGGUGGCAACGGGUAACGGGGAAUUAGGGUUCGAUUCCGGAGAGGGAGCCUGAGAAACGGCUACCACAUCCAAGGAAGGCAGCAGGCGCGCAAAUUACCCAAUCCCGACACGGGGAGGUAGUGACAAUAAAUACUGAUACGGGGCUCUUUUGGGUCUCGUAAUUGGAAUGAGUACAAUCUAAAUCCCUUAACGAGGAACAAUUGGAGGGCAAGUCUGGUGCCAGCAGCCGCGGUAAUUCCAGCUCCAAUAGCGUAUAUUAAAGUUGUUGCAGUUAAAAAGCUCGUAGUUGAACCUUGGGUCUGGCUGGCCGGUCCGCCUCACCGUGAGUACUGGUCCGGCUGGACCUUUUCCUUCUGGGGAAUCUCAUGGCCUUCACUGGGCCUGUGGGGGGGAAACCAGGACUUUU
rnacentral:rRNA from 1 species